CCUGUCGAUGAAGAUGAAGUGGUCUCUCAUCUCCUUCAUGGAUAGGAUUCAGAUAAAAAUUCCUUUGUAUCUGCAAUCUCCACCCGUGCAGCGGUUGACA
rfam:Hordeum vulgare subsp. vulgare, WGS project CAJW01000000 data, contig: morex_contig_2558693